rnacentral:rRNA from 1 species
UACAGAGGUCUCAAGCGUUGUUCGGAUUCAUUGGGCGUAAAGGGUGCGUAGGCGGCGCGGUAAGUCGGGUGUGAAAUUUCGAGGCUUAACUUCGAAACUGCAUUCGAUACUGCCGUGCUUGAGGACUGGAGAGGAGACUGGAAUUUACGGUGUGGCGGUGAAAUGCGUAGAUAUCGUAAGGAAGACCAGUGGCGAAGGCGGGUCUCUGGACAGUUCCUGACGCUGAGGCACGAAGGCCAGGGGAGCAAACGGG